AUAGAAUAUAGAACAAAAUAGAAUAUAAUUCAAAACAUGGAAUAUAUUUUAGUUAUUAUGAUAUAUAUUUUCGCCCAUUUAUUUUAUUGCUUCUUGCUUUUUGACAUAACUAAAACAAUUAUGUUUUUUUUUUUUUUUUUUAUCUGGGGUAGUAGCCUAAUAUUUUAGUUAUUUUUUUUUAUUUAAUUUAUAUAUCUUUGGCCAUUUAUUUUAGCUUCCAGCCUUUUGACAUUUAACAUAACUAAAACAAUGUAUGUUUUGAGGUUUCUUUCUAGCUAUAGUUUGUUUACAUUUCAUUUAUCCUUUAUUUAGCCAGGAAAAAAAUCCCAUUGAGAUAUAAUAAUCUCUUCUUCCAGGGAGACCUGGGCAAAAACGGCAGCACACAUAUAGUUUCAAACACAUACAUAAUUAAAACACAAACAAUCCAACAAAUCAAAAAUAGAUCGAAGUUCAAGAAAAACAUUUACAAGACUCUUUAAAUGUAGAAUACAGAAUAAAUUUAAAAGUGCUCAAAGAUGGCAAAGACUCUAAUUUCAAUACAUUUUGUAGGUCGUUCCAAACCCUAGGGGCCUAAAAAGAAAAAGCAUGCUUUCCAAAUUCAGUGAAUACUCUUGGGACUUUUAAACAAAGAUGCAGCUGCGAUCUGGUACCAUAACCAUUAGUAUAAAAAAAUAUUCUACAUCCCCAAUCCAACAUCCUCUCCCAUUUGUAAUUAUGUACAUUGAUGUCUUGAGAUGUGCAGAUGUGUUCCUUCUUCGUGCCCACGCGCUGUAGAGCUGCUCAAGCGCUUUAACAUGAUGGUGUGUUAAUAGUGAACAGGUAUGAUGCGCGCGCGCGGCGGGAGGUGAUGGUGGUGGUCAUGUGACGCGGCUCUCGUGAAGGUGGCACACAGACACAGGGAAGAGCGCGACACUUCAUACACCUCUCUCCAACCGAGUUCAACACAACAGCACACAAUCAUGUCUAUUAGCCGGAAAAACUGGUCUGCUUUGUCAACGCUGGCUCGACAGUGGACUGUGGAGGAUGAGGAAGAGGUGGAGAGAGAGAAGAGGAGGAAGACAAGGGAGUCUACAGCAGACUCGGAUGAAAGUCCCACUGAAGAGACCAAACCACAAACCAGUAGUGUUAGCGGGCCUGCUGAUGCUGGCGACUCUGGCGGCGGUGUGGCCCAGCUGCAGAUGGACUUUGUGGAGAUGUUGCGAGUCCGUGAUGAACGGAGGAGGAUGAGGCACGUUGAAACCCUGAGGAAGAAUAAGGAGGAAGAUGAUGGGGGCAAAGAGACCGGCCCGGAUGUGGAGCCCCAUGUGGAGCUGCUGGGGGAAGAGCAGGACGAGGAACUCUUCAAGAACAUUCAGCGAUGCGUGGAGACAUUCAUGUCACCAGAACCUCCCAUCAACUCCAAAGACUCAGAGACACACGAGAAGGAAGAAAAUGGAGGCACGAACCAAGAUUCAACAUCAACAAACUCCCAACCCCCCUCAAAAGCAUCCAGAAAGUUUGUGAGCUCUCUCUCCAUCUCCUUUGAUAAGAGUCCCACAUCACCCCCAGCAACCAGCAGACUGGUUUCUCCUCUGAGCCCCAAGUCUCCGCCCCCUCAGUCCCCGAGGGCGGAGUCACCUCACAGCCCCACCCAUUCAGGCUCAAUGAGCCCCACACCGAAUGGAGACGCAGCGAGACAUGAAAAUGGGUCACCGAGCAAUUUCGAACCAACUGCGAAACCUGCGUUCACACGCCAGAGCUCCAGAACGGUGUCCUUCAGGAUGAUGAAGAAGAAGGAAGAAGAAAACAUGCCGCUACAGAGAAGUGCAAGUGUGCGGAUUGCAGCGAAGACCUUUGAAUCCAAUGAGGUAAAGUUAUUAAAGACAAAUCAACCACAAACACCUUCAGUCCAGUCUCAAUAUAAUACUCUCAAGCUUAUUGUGGAUGUUCUGGCCCACAGGGAUCCAAACAAGAGGAGGAGCAGCAGACCCCGUUUCAGAGAAAGUGAGUGUGUCUGUAUUAGUUUCUGUUUGAGCAGCAGUAAAAGAGGGUGUGUUGAAUUAACUGCUGUCUGUGCUGUUCCUCAAGCUCCCGACAGAGGUUAUCAUCUCACUCCAUUCAGGAGAAAAUGGAACGACUGGCUCAAGCCUCACAGAAAUGGGAAAUAUCCAAAUCCCCAGUGGUGCACCAGACUGUGUGUUUAGCGGAUGAGGUGUCAAGGAAGAGGGAGCUGUUUGAGAAAGAACAGGAGGGAUCCGACAGAAGCCAUGUGUUCUCCAAACAGGAAUUCCGCAACUUUUCUUCAGGAAUCUCUGAUCGGAUUAAUCGCUGGGUUCAGAAGAAAACAUUUACUGUGUCAUCAUCAUCCCCAUCAUCAUCAUCAUCAUCUCAUAGUCCUUUGGAUCUGAGACAUGUGAGCAUCUCCAGUAAGAAAAGUUUGUUUGAAAGAGGACAAGACCAGGACCCCAAGUGACACUCUCACGGAUAAAGACAAAGUUUAAUGAGAUUCAUUUGAUCAUGUGUCUCUGCAGAUUUUGAAGGAAGCUUGAUCGACUCUUUCAGACACUCAGUGCCAAGGAUUGUCUCUUAACUCCUUUUCCUUCUGCUUCUUUACGUUGGCUAAUUCCUCAGCACUUCUAAGGCAUAGUACUGAUCUACAUUAUUUGGGUAAAUUCAAGGCUUAUGUUAUUGGUUGUGAAUGUGUGUACUGAUGGAUUGCGGAAUGCAACAGGACUGUAUUAUAGAGUCUUUACAUAGAAACUGAACAUCACAGGGUUUAUCUGACAGCAGGAAUACAGACAUACAGCUUCUUUGUGUCUGUGCCAGACACUCCUCUUCCUUGUAGCUUGAUAUUUGUGCUGUUGAUAAGGAGAAAGAGGCGUAAUCUAUGACCUGAGCCAUAACUCAAGGUACAAGGUACAACUGUAAUAUCAUGAAUGUCUGUUUCAGUGAACCAGACUGGAAAUAACCUGAAUGAUUCAUUUGUUAUGAAGCUGGAAUCGUGCUCUGAAGCUGACCUAUGCUCUUGCUGCUGUUUUAACUUGCCGGAGACUUAAGUCAUAAUAAGUAAACGUAAUUUAGACGUAAUCUAUAGAGAAAUGUUCCCUAUCAAGCCCUUUGCAAACUGACUUCAAUCCAUUCAAUUCAACCAAGCUUAUGUUUCCUUUUUUGCUAACUGACCUGUCAUGUAAUUAUAUUUUCUGCCCAGGAGGGUUAUGCUGUAGAUUAAUAAAAAAAUGUUUUUUACUAGUGAUUGUGUUGUC
ensembl:lncRNA